rnacentral:lncRNA from 1 species
AGGAGGUAAAGUUAAGGAGGGACAGUUUGCCAGGCAUGGGGGACAACCAGUGAAACUGCCCCUCUAGUGGGGAGUGCAGUGUCUGGGAUGAGAAAUAUAGUGCUGGGUAUGUAAAGGAAAAGGAAAAACAAACUCUGCCCACAAGAAGUUCACGUUCAAAUGAGGUUAACAUGCUGAUAACUCUAUACAUAUAAGAAAUAUACAGGGUAAAUAAUAGGUAAUCUCAGAGCCAAGGUACUAGUAAGUAUGAGAGGAGAUUAGGAGUUUGGGAAGGGGUAGAAGAAUGUCUUGAAAGAAUCCAGAGCACCUAGGAAACAGGGAUGAGAAGUGAGAGCAUUCCCAGAGAAAGAACUUCAUUAAAGAAGGAAAAUGUCUUUGCCAUGAUCACAAAGUUGUAAAUAGAGGAAGGUUUGACACUGAAUGCCUGCCUCAAGUUCCUGUAGCAUCUCCAGAAUCAUUUUAAUUGUUUGGC